UAAAGAUUAACUUUCAAUAUCCUGCUCAUCAUAUUGAAGUGCUGGCGAAGAAGUGGACUGAUUUCUAUAAAACCGGAUAACGUCGGCGUUUGUUAGACUCUUUAUUUUUGUUGCUUGUUUUCGCUUACUCUCAGCUUUUUCUCUUCGUUCUUUUUCUAGUACUUUAUUGCCUCACUCUAUAUAGCUAAUUUUAUUUGCUUAAUGAAUGAAGCAGGUAGCGUGCUAUUUUUCUCUCUCUAAAAAAAAAAUACUUUAAAUAUGUUCUGAACAAGUGGGAAAAGUUAGAGAAAAUAAGGA
rnacentral:lncRNA from 1 species